GGGAGUGGGUUUCGGGACACCGGACCCACCAGCUUGUUGAUCGAUGGCGCUUUGCGCCUCAGGAAAUCUGUCCAAAAGAGAACGUAGAGGAUUUUAGCAGAAAUUGCAGAAGUGACAACCUACGGAGCCCACAACCGACUGUCGUGACUGUGAUGGUCCGUAGGUGGCACCGUAGUGAGAAGAAAAGGGCUGCUGAAGGAAGUUGGAGAAGUCUGACCAAUGUGGGACUACGGAAGCUCAUGACGGACCAUCAUAGCCAUGACGGUCCAUCCUGCAUAUUCGUCGUGGUUGUCAGAGAGUAGUUCCAGUACCCUAUUUCAAGAAGUUUCUAAGUGUUGUGGAACGGAACCUCUCGACGGACUGUAAUGAUUGCAACGGUCCGUUAUAUCUGUCUGUCGAGAGUAACAAAGAGUUGAUGAAGAAACCAGCAGAAAAUUAUGCCAAGUAUGGAAUGACGGAGCCCAGGAAUGACGGAGCCCACAACGAUCCGUCGUGUCCAUGAUGGUCCGUCGCAGGGAUCGUCGAUUCAGACACAUUUUGGACACAUUUGCCUUAAAUAGAGUCCUUCUUUUAUUAGGUUUUAUUUUAUUAUAAAUUAUUCGAAAAAACUCAUUCUUGGGGUUAGACUUUUGGCAAUUUUUUAGUUCUCUUGUUUAAGUAUUGAACUCUUGAUUUUGGUAUUUGAUCAAACUUUUCCGGAAUCAA